rnacentral:rRNA from 1 species
GACGAACGCUGGCGGCGUGCUUAACACAUGCAAGUCGAACGGUAAGGCCCUUCGGGGUACACGAGUGGCGAACGGGUGAGUAACACGUGGGUGAUCUGCCCUGCACUUCGGGAUAAGCCUGGGAAACUGGGUCUAAUACCGGAUAGGACUCCUGGCUUCAUGGUUGGGGGUGUAAAGCUUUUGCGGUGUGGGAUGGGCCCGCGGCCUAUCAGCUUGUUGGUGGGGUAAUGGCCUACCAAGGCGACGACGGGUUAGCCGGCCUGAGAGGGUGACCGGCCACACUGGGACUGAGAUACGGCCCAGACUCCUACGGGAGGCAGCAGUGGGGAAUAUUGCACAAUGGGCGCAAGCCUGAUGCAGCGACGCCGCGUGAGGGAUGACGGCC